rnacentral:tRNA from 1 species
GGGUCGGUAGCGUAGUUGGUUAUCGCAUCUGCUUGGCAGGGGGUCCCAGUUCGAACCUGGGCCGACACA